rnacentral:rRNA from 1 species
GACGAACCGAGCGAACGUUAUUCGGAAUCACUGGGCUUAAAGGGCGCGUAGGCGGGCCCGAAAGUCAGGGGUGAAAGCCCACGGCUCAACCGUGGAAGUGCCUCUGAUACUUCGGGCCUCGAGGGAGGUAGGGGCGUGCGGAACUUCCGGUGGAGCGGUGAAAUGCGUAGAUAUCGGGAGGAACACCAGUGGCGAAGGCGACUACCUGGCCUGUUCUUGACGCUGAGGCGCGAAAGCGUGGGGAGCAAACAGG